UCUCUCUGUUUCUUCACAUUUCACCCCAUCAGGACACCUAUGAAACAACAGGCUUCUGCAGCUGAUUGGAUGAGCGGAGACAGAGAAUGUAUUUAAAUAGAGCCCUAUUCAUCUAGGUCUACUACAUCCCCACUGGGUUUCCUUACACUGCUGGAGACGCAGCUUCACUGCUCCAACAACGCGUUCUCACUGACUUGAGCUCUCUGACAGAGAUGAAAGAUGAGUGAGGCGCUCAGACGAGAGCGACGAGUCGAGCCAAGGCUACAGAGGGGGCUACAGAGGGGGCUACAGAGGGG